rnacentral:rRNA from 1 species
UGCAAGUCGAACGGUGAAGGAGGAGCUUGCUCCUUUGGAUCAGUGGCGAACGGGUGAGUAACACGUGAGUAACCUGCCCCAGACUCUGGGAUAAGCACUGGAAACGGUGUCUAAUACCGGAUACGAGCUUCAGCCGCAUGGCUAGGAGCUGGAAAGAAUUUCGGUCUGGGAUGGACUCGCGGCCUAUCAGCUAGUUGGUGAGGUAAUGGCUCACCAAGGCGACGACGGGUAGCCGGCCUGAGAGGGUGACCGGCCACACUGGGACUGAGACACGGCCCAGACUCCUACGGGAGGCAGCAGUGGGGAAUAUUGCACAAUGGGCGCAAGCCUGAUGCAGCAACGCCGCGUGAGGGACGACGGCCUUCGGGUUGUAAACCUCUUUUAGUAGGGAAGAAGCGAAAGUGACGGUACCUGCAGAAAAAGCACCGGCUAACUACGUGCCAGCAGCCGCGGUAAUACGUAGGGUGCAAGCGUUAUCCGGAAUUAUUGGGCGUAAAGAGCUCGUAGGCGGUUUGUCGCGUCUGCUGUGAAAACUGGAGGCUCAACCUCCAGCCUGCAGUGGGUACGGGCAGACUAGAGUGCGGUAGGGGAGAUUGGAAUUCCUGGUGUAGCGGUGGAAUGCGCAGAUAUCAGGAGGAACACCGAUGGCGAAGGCAGAUCUCUGGGCCGUAACUGACGCUGAGGAGCGAAAGCAUGGGGAGCGAACAGGAUUAGAUACCCUGGUAGUCCAUGCCGUAAACGUUGGGAACUAGAUGUAGGGACCAUUCCACGGUUUCUGUGUCGCAGCUAACGCAUUAAGUUCCCCGCCUGGGGAGUACGGCCGCAAGGCUAAAACUCAAAGGAAUUGACGGGGGCCCGCACAAGCGGCGGAGCAUGCGGAUUAAUUCGAUGCAACGCGAAGAACCUUACCAAGGCUUGACAUAUACCGGAAAAGUUCAGAAAUGUUCUCCCCGCAAGGUCGGUAUACAGGUGGUGCAUGGUUGUCGUCAGCUCGUGUCGUGAGAUGUUGGGGUUAAGUCCCGCAACGAGCGCAACCCUCGUUCUAUGUUGCCAG